ACCAUCAUGCUUUUUAGAGGCCUCUGCUCUGCCAGCCUGGGAGUCAUCUUCACCCUCAGGCUGGUAGACUCCAGUCUCUUAGGUCAGAAUGGGAUUAGAGACCCGUUCCUGAACCAGUCACACACAGCGGGUGAAACUGCUAUGAUUGGUUUAGACUUAGAGACUGGAAUGGAUGCUGGCCUAGAAGCGAAGACACAUAGAAGCAAUGUGUACCUAGACUGUUGUCCUAAAUGCCAUUUCCUACCAGGAAGGAACCAGAGUCUUUGCAGAAAUGUAUCAUUUCACAUCUGGGUAAGGAAAUGUCUGAGAAGGAUCAGAUAUAUUGUGGGUCAGAAAGCAACGGAGCUGUCAAAGUGAACUCAUGCAACGGUAUCAAAAGGAUUCAAAAGAAUUCAGUUGAUAAAAGUCGGUAUAGACCCAUUUCUUCCCACUCUUCCCUGCUAAGUAUAACUGUAACCCCUGAAAAUUACUCAAGAGACAACCAAAGGAGAACUCUAAACACUAGUGGAAGAAGAUUAACUGAUUUGGGACCCUAAGAACAACAUAGUGGCAGGGUGACACUCAUGCCUCCUUUCAAAAGAACAAGGACACCUAGACCCAGUAUUUUCCUACCUCAGCAGAGCAACAGAUGGAAGCCCACGUAGGCUCAUUGCUCUCCUGGAUCCAUCAGCAGCCCCUCUGCAUCAGGCGAGCCCAACACUACCUUUGAGGAGGAAUCAAUUUGGAGACCUAUCAAUAAGCAGUGAGGGGAAUCACUCUCCUUCCUCAAGCAGCACCAGCAAGAACCAGUGGGAGCCCGAGAAACACCAGACAUGUUAAGUAGUCCAAUGUAACACCACAAAGUCUCUGAAAAUUAAACUGCCAUUGGAACCAUAGCCUAAAAAAGUUGGCCAAGACUUACGUAUGUGAUAAAUCUAAACAGGGUGACUGCCACUUAAAAUAAAAGAUUUAAAGAGGACCCCAGAGUCUCUUAACAUACUAGACAAAAUGUUGAGGAUACAGUAGAAAAUUACCCAUCACACCAAGAACCAAGGAAAUGACAACUCGAAUGAGAAAGAAAAUCACCUGACACUGCACUAAGUUCAAUGUUGGAAUUAUCUGACAAGGAUUUUAAAUUAUAUUUGAUCAUUGAAACAAAAAUUAUAACACAAUACUUAAGGUAAUGAUAUUUAAGAGUGAAGAAGAUGGCUUCCUAAACAG
rnacentral:lncRNA from 1 species